CGUGGGUAACCUGCCUGUAAGACUGGGAUAACCCCGGGAAACCGGAGCUAAUACCGGAUAGUUCCUUGAACCGCAUGGUUCAAGGAUGAAAGACGGUUUCGGCUGUCACUUACAGAUGGACCCGCGGCGCAUUAGCUAGUUGGUGAGGUAACGGCUCACCAAGGCGACGAUSCGUAGCCGACCUGAGAGGGUGAUCGGCCACACUGGGACUGAGACACGGCCCAGACCUCUACGGGAGGCAGCAGUAGGGAAUCUUCCGCAAUGGACGAAAGUCUGACGGAGCAACGCCGCGUGAGUGAUGAAGGUUUUCGGAYCGUAAAGCUCUGUUGUUAGGGAAGAACAAGUGCAAGAGUAACUGCUUGCACCUUGACGGUACCUAACCAGAAAGCCACGGCUAACUACGUGCCAGCAGCCGCGGUAAUACGUAGGUGGCAAGCGUUGUCCGGAAUUAUUGGGCGUAAAGGGCUCGCAGGCGGUUUCUUAAGUCUGAUGUGAAAGCCCCCGGCUCAACCGGGGAGGGUCAUUGGAAACUGGGAAACUUGAGUGCAGAAGAGGAGAGUGGAAUUCCACGUGUAGCGGUGAAAUGCGUAGAGAUGUGGAGGAACACCAGUGGCGAAGGCGACUCUCUGGUCUGUAACUGACGCUGAGGAGCGAAAGCGUGGGGAGCGAACAGGAUUAGAUACCCUGGUAGUCCACGCCGUAAACGAUGAGUGCUAAGUGUUAGGGGGUUUCCGCCCCUUAGUGCUGCACKAACGCAUUAAGCACUCCGCCUGGG
rnacentral:rRNA from 1 species